GCCACCUUAGCUCAGUUGGUAGAGCAGCUGAUUUGUAAUCAGCAGGCCGACGGUUCGAGUCCGCCAGGUGGCU
rnacentral:tRNA from 2 species